AUAGCUAAAGGUGAAACGGGAAAUUGGUUACACCAAUACUGCCCCCGCAACGGUGUGAGUUGGCAGCUAUACCCAAACUACAUGAAGAUAUAGAUUUCAGCUGGAAUUAGAAACGCCUUGAUCAUGAAUUGCUGAGGCGCGCUGAAGCACACAUCUUAAAGUAGCUUGGGUAUAUUGAUAACUCAAGUCCGGAGACCGGCCUAAAAUUUAA
rnacentral:ncRNA from 1 species